rnacentral:rRNA from 1 species
UGCUUGCACCUGAUUGACGAUGGAUCACCAGUGAGUGGCGGACGGGUGAGUAACACGUAGGCAACCUGCCCCGGAGCGGGGGAUAACAUUUGGAAACAGAUGCUAAUACCGCAUAACAACAAAAGCCACAUGGCUUUUGUUUGAAAGAUGGCUUUGGCUAUCACUCUGGGAUGGACCUGCGGUGCAUUAGCGAGUUGGUAAGGUAACGGCUUACCAAGGCGAUGAUGCAUAGCCAAGUUGAGAGACUGAUCGGCCACAAUGGAACUGAGACACGGUCCAUACUCCUACGGGAGGCAGCAGUAGGGAAUCUUCCACAAUGGGCGCAAGCCUGAUGGAGCAACACCGCGUGAGUGAAGAAGGGUUUCGGCUCGUAAAGCUCUGUUGUUGGAGAAGAACGUGCGUGAGAGUAACUGUUCACGCAGUGACGGUAUCCAACCAGAAAGUCACGGCUAACUACGUGCCAGCAGCCGCGGUAAUACGUAGGUGGCAAGCGUUAUCCGGAUUUAUUGGGCGUAAAGCGAGCGCAGGCGGUUGCUUAGGUCUGAUGUGAAAGCCUUCGGCUUAACCGAAGAAGUGCAUCGGAAACCGGGCGACUUGAGUGCAGAAGAGGACAGUGGAACUCCAUGUGUAGCGGUGGAAUGCGUAGAUAUAUGGAAGAACACCAGUGGCGAAGGCGGCUGUCUGGUCUGCAACUGACGCUGAGGCUCGAAAGCAUGGGUAGCGAACAGGAUUAGAUACCCUGGUAGUCCAUGCCGUAAACGAUGAGUGCUAGGUGUUGGAGGGUUUCCGCCCUUCAGUGCCGGAGCUAACGCAUUAAGCACUCCGCCUGGGGAGUACGACCGCAAGGUUGAAACUCAAAGGAAUUGACGGGGGCCCGCACAAGCGGUGGAGCAUGUGGUUUAAUUCGAAGCUACGCGAAGAACCUUACCAGGUCUUGACAUCUUGCGCUAAC